rnacentral:rRNA from 1 species
UACCAGCUCUCCGAGUGGUAGGGAUGAUUAUUGGGCUUAAAGCGUCCGUAGCCGGCUUAGCAAGUUUCCUGUUAAAUUCAGCGACCUAAUCGUUGAGCCGCGGGAAAUACUACUAGGCUAGGAGGCGGGAGAGGUCAACGGUACUUCCGGGGUAGGGGUGAAAUCCUAUAAUCCCGGGAGGACCACCAGUGGCGAAGGCUGUUGACUAGAACGCGCUCGACGGUGAGGGACGAAAGCUGGGGGAGCGAACCGGAUUAGAUACCCGGGUAGUCCCAGCUGUAAACGAUGCGAGCUAGGUGUUGGGGUGGCUACGUGCCACUUCAGUGCCGCAGGGAAGCCAUUAAGCUCGCCGCCUGGGGAGUACGGCCGCAAGGCUGAAACUUAAAGGAAUUGGCGGGGGAGCACCACAAGGCGUGAAGCUUGCGGUUC